rnacentral:rRNA from 1 species
UACGUAGGGUGCGAGCGUUAAUCGGAAUUACUGGGCGUAAAGCGUGCGCAGGCGGUUUUGUAAGCCCGAUGUGAAAUCCCCGGGCUUAACCUGGGAAUGGCAUUUGGGACUGCAAGGCUCGAGUGCGGCAGAGGAGACUGGAAUUCCUGGUGUAGCAGUGAAAUGCGUAGAUAUCAGGAGGAACACCGAUGGCGAAGGCAGGUCUCUGGGCUGACACUGACGCUCAUGCACGAAAGCGUGGGGAGCAAACAGG